GCCCUCGUGGCCCAGAGGUUAAAGGCGUAUCACUUGUAUAUGGGCACUACGGCGGUGCUGUAGUGUUUCAAGUAUAGGAAUGAUAAGAUCACCCGUUCGAAUCGGGUCGGGGGCA
rnacentral:tRNA from 1 species